UUAAAAUGAGUACAAGAUAAGAGAGAAGAGGGUGUUUCUUUGGGGUAGUUUAAACUCUGCAAUUAGCUUAAGGAGGCCUUGGCAACGAAAAAAGAUAGCAACACUAGUGUGGAACCAUGCAUGGAAACGAAGUAACUUAAAUACUGAUGAAUAAGAGCCUACUGGGUUUUGCGGCGGGAGGAAAACUUGUAUAGGCUUAUGGAAAGAUCUUUUUACCUUUACA